AUCUGAGCAGAAGUCACACUGACAAUCUGAAGCAGCCAGUCCCCUGUGCGGGACACUGAAGGAAGGAGCUGGUAAUCAGUCACUAGCGUGAGCGGUGAGAUCGUGUGAUCGGAGCCACAGACACAACUCUAGUGAGAGAGCGUGAGCGGUGAGAUCGUGUGAUCGGAGCCACAGACACAACUCUAGUGAGAGGUAAGGACAAGAGAGGGGACGGAGCCCGGCAACAGCUGUAGGAUUGCCACAACAGAGGUAUAGAAUGAGGGCCAGGUAGAGU